rnacentral:snoRNA from 1 species
AGGAGGAAGGGAAGGGGGAAGGGAAGGGAAAGGGAAAGGGAAAGGGAAAGGGGAAGGGAAGGGAAAGGGGAAGGGAA